AAGAAAGAUCCACUCUUGAUAGCAUCCUCGUUGGCAUUUCCAAGAGCAGCCUCAUUCAAGUACUGGUCAGCCAAUUGGACUCUCUUCACAUUCUCUUGUUCUUGGACAAGCAUGCUAGCAUACAGCAAGAGCUUGUCCAGAGUCAUCUUGGGCUGGUCAAAGGUAGGAGGUCCUUCCUUUGAGUUCACAAGCUUCUUCCCAACAGAAUCAACACCAACACCAGAAAUCCACUUCCUUACUUCAUCAUCAUACACUCUGGCCCUCAGUGCACCAAAGAAAUCUGCACCACAACAUGGGAUGUUAUUGCAGUUAUUUGUGAAAAUACAAUCAAAUUGCUCCUUGGUUUUAUUAUUUUCAAUGGAAUCAAAUUGUUCUCUUUCUUAAACUCAUCUAAUGUUGUUCUUUUUUAAAAUUGGAACCCAAAUUCUACCUUAGUGUUACAGUUUUUGGUUCUUAGUUCUUACCAAUGGAUUGGCCAGGGUGUUUGUCAACAAGCUCGACAAUGUCCUUUUCAGGAACACCAUCGGUCCGGAAAAUUCCCUUGCAAACACCAAUGCGGUCUUCCCUUGUUGGUGCCCAGUAGAACUUCUCCAUACGACCAUCACGGAUGAGAGGAGCAUAAAGUGUUGAGAAAUCGUUACCAGUGACAAUGAUGGGCACACGGGCGUUAUCUUCCUUGUUGUACAUACCAGGAAGCUGCACAUUUGUGGGGUUAUCAGCAAUGUUCAUGAGAGUGGCAUUCACCAUCUGGUUGUUCACAGUGUAUUGGGUGGUUCCACCAAGACGACCUGCUCCUGCAUCAAGAUCAUUGAUGAACAGAACACACAUCUUUCCCUUCUUGAUUAAGUCUGAGGCUUCACGGUAUCUCUGCCUAAUCAAUUUUGCUGGCUCUCCGGCAUUUCCACUUUCCAACUCUCCAGCACUCAUCAUGAUGGGGCUGUAAUGUAAUCACAAUUCAAACAAAUCAAAUAUAAAGAGUGUUCAGUUCAUUUGUUGUGAGCUUCAAUACAAUAUAAUUCAAAUCUUUGAUGAAGUAUGAGUAUUGCCAGAUAUCAAUACUUCCUACUCUGUGUUUGAGUGGGGAUUUGUGAAAAUGAAUUCGAAGUUAAAUAGUUCAUGUUUGGACAUGUUUAUCUCAAACCAUGUAAAAAUAGUAAAAUCUAGGACAAAAUUUUGGGUUCAACACAAAAGUUGUUUAAAUUCCUCUCCAUGAUACAGAACAUGUGAUUUUAUAUAUAAAAUUACUUUAGCUAUAUUUGAUGACCGUGAUUAAAAAGUUCACAUAAUGAAGGGGAUAGUUCAGCAAGAACUCACUUGAUUCCCAUCUUGGCAAAGACAAGCUCACAUUGGAAAGAUUUUCCUUGUCCCUUGCCUCCCCAGACACCAAGAAUGAGAGGAACCUGCAAAAGGAUUAGAAAAAAAAUGAAUGGUGUCUCCCAAUUUGAGAAAAGUUGAAGUGCAAUUUAUGCAGAGAAGAUGUUUGUGGUGGCAUGCCUUGAUGUUGGGCAAG
rnacentral:lncRNA from 1 species